rnacentral:rRNA from 1 species
GACGAACGCUGGCGGCGUGCUUAACACAUGCAAGUCGAACGGAAAGGCCCUGCUUUUGUGGGGUGCUCGAGUGGCGAACGGGUGAGUAACACGUGAGUAACCUGCCCUUGACUUUGGGAUAACUUCAGGAAACUGGGGCUAAUACCGGAUAGGAGCUCCUGCUGCAUGGUGGGGGUUGGAAAGUUUCGGCGGUUGGGGAUGGACUCGCGGCUUAUCAGCUUGUUGGUGGGGUAGUGGCUUACCAAGGCUUUGACGGGUAGCCGGCCUGAGAGGGUGACCGGCCACCUUGGGACUGAGAUACGGACCAGAAUCCUACGGGAGGCAGCAGGGGGGAAUAUUGCACAAUGGGGGGGAGCCUGAUGCAGCAACGCCGCGUGCGGGAUGACGGCCUUCGGGUUGUAAACCGCUUUCGCCUGUGACGAAGCGUGAGUGACGGUAAUGGGUAAAGAAGCACCGGCUAACUACGUG